rnacentral:lncRNA from 1 species
GUCUCAGCCGCUUCCUGUCAGCGCCAGGAGCGGGGAUUCCCGGGGUCCCGGGCAGGUACCUGGACAGCGCAGGUCCUCGCAAGGCCGUUUCUCAGGGACGCCGGCCUCGCCACUGACGUAGCACCAGGGCCCGCGCGGGUCCUCGUCCGGGUUUCGGCAGUAACUGUGAUUGCCGGCCCCUAAGAGAGGAGAGAAGGAAAUGUGUGCCGGGGCUGGCACCGGGAACGCGGCCGCCGCCCGCCAGCCCCGGGGCCGUCCCCCGGAGGACACUUACCCGACACGGGGGCCGAGGCCAGCCCGCUCUGCGCGUCCAGCCAGUUGAGGCAGCGGAGGCCCGGCGCGGGGGAGGUCUGGUCCUCCCGGUACAGGUGGCCGUUGUCCCAGAAACAGCCUGUGAGGAAAAGAAGCCCCCGGACACAGAAUAGCGGGCAGCGAACGGAAGACGCCCAGCGUGGCGGACAGGGGAGCCGGGACCACCCGGGCUGAACCUCAGCCUGGUUAGGGGACCCCGGGCCCUGCUGGGCCUCCCUCUCCUCUCGUGGCAACACCCCCACGCCCCACGCACCCCCCCCCCCCAACUCCACGCACACCUCAGGGUGUGAAGCCCCCAGCCUGUGCCUGUCCCCCAGUCAACGCUCAGAGACUGUUAGGUUUUAUUUAUUUUUGAAACCUGGAAAGCGCUGCAGAAGUGCAAAGCGUUGUUACUCUUGAACUUGUGACCACUUUGGAGGAGGAGAUGGAGAGGAGGAGGCCUGGCUUAGGGUCCCUUUGAGGAGCUGGGAGUUUUGGGACGGGGGGCGCCCAGACGUGACAUUUGUCCCUGUGUUGUAAUGGCCACGUUACAUAAACUCCGGUGUUUCCUCCUUCACGGAUACGGCCACCUUCUGCCCGUUUAAAAGGCAAAUACUCCCUCCCAGGAGAAUUCUCCAGGAGCCUUGACUCCGUCAGGCAAAAGAUUCAAGACAGCCUCAAACGGAGGAAACCGGCCUCAUCGCUGACUGGAUGAGACUCCAAGCUCCCACUCCCCUCUGCAGGAGAACCACAGAAGGAGGCUGGGGAAGGAGGACCACACCAUGCAAAGGGCUUAGAAAGAACAGGACUUGGGGAGUAGGGGAGAUGAACCCCCAAGCUCCAUCCACUCAUGAGCAAGGAAAGGCAGAGAGAAAGUGGCUUCUUGCCUUUGUUCUUAAUGGCAAAGAUGGAGCUGCAAGCCCCUGACAAGGAAAGGAGGGGUGGAAAAGCUUUCACGGGACAACAGAAACCGGCUAAACGCUUCGUUUCCUGUCAUCCUGGCCCUGUUUGGGAAAUAGGGGGCUUUACCCCUUCUGUUUCAUGAAGUUGCUGCGGAAAGGAAAGAUUGUAAUCUCACCUCCAGAUCCAUAGGCUUCUGCUAGGAGCAUGUUGCUGACGAGGAAUGCUUGUACCCAGGCCAACAGCAUCCUUGCCUCCUUCGUCUUGCAGGUGAUUGAACGACCAGUGUUUAACCGAGGCCCCCUUGGCGGCGGCUCUGCCUCCCAGUCCCAGCCUUGCAGUCAGACCUGCCCUUGUUAUGCUGUUCUGGUAAACAGCCUCUCUUUAGAACUGGGAGCUUCCCAGCUAGCUUGCUGCAGCGCGAGCUGUUUUUCAGCUGAAAGGCGCCCCCUGGGUCCUAAGCCUCCUAGGUCAUGCAAAAUCUAACUGAGCCAAGAAAGGAACUCAGCCAAGAGAUAUGCAGGUUGUGCUUAGCAGCCGAUCAGUUUGAGACCUGCGAGGCCGCAUCCCCAGGGUUUUUCAUCUCUUCUGUUUCCAUUUGUAGUCUCACUCCUCUGUCACCCAGGCUGGAGUGCAGUGGCAUACUCACGCCUCACUGCCGCCUCAACCUCCUGUGCUCAAGCGAUUCUCCCACCUCACCCUCCCGAGUAGCUCAGACUACAGGUGAGUGCCACCAUGCCCAGGUAAUUUUUUUGUAUUUUUUGUAGAGACAGGGUUUUGCCAUGUUGUCCAGACUGGUCUCAAACUCCAGGCUCAAGCAAUCCACUGGACUUGGCCUCCCAAAGUGCUGGGAUUAAAGGCAUGAGUGACCACACCUGGCCAUUAACCCACAUUUAAGAUCCCAAUUUCCAACUCUCCAUUCCCCAUUCCCCCAGCCCCUGGAAACCAUCAUUCUACUCUCUGACUCUAUAGUAUGAAUUUGACUACUCGAGGUAUGGCAUAUAAGUGGGAUCAUACAGUAUUUGUUUUUUGUGACUGGCUAAUUUUACUUAGCAUAAUGUCCUCAAGGUUUAUCUAUGUUGUAGCACGUGUCAGAAUAUCCUCCCUUUUUAUUUGUAUUUUUUUUAUUCGAGACAUGGUCUCACUCUGUCACCCAGGCUGGAGUGCAGUAGCACAAUCUUAGCUCAUUGCAACCUCUGCCUCAGCUAUCCUCCUGCCUCAGCCUCCCAAGGAGCUAGGACCACAGGUGUGCACCACCACGUCUGGCUUUUUUUUUUUUUUUUUUUUUGAGAUGGAGUCUCGCUCUGUCACCCAGGCUGGAGUGCAGUGGCGCGAUUUUGGCUCAUUGCAACCUCUGCCUCCCGGGUUCAAGCAAUUCUUCUGCCUCAGCCUCCCAAGUAGCUGGGAUUACAGGGGUGUGCCACCACACCCGGCUAAUUUUUUAUAUUUUUGGUAGAGACGGGGUUUCAUCAUGUUGGCCGGGCUGUUCUCAAACUCCUCACCUAGUGAUCCGCCUGCCUCAGCCCCCCAAAGUGCUGGGAUUACAGGCCUGAGCCACUGCGCCCAGCCCACGUCCGGCUAUUUUUUUGUAUUUUUAGUAGAGGUGGGGCCUCGCCAUGUUGCCCAGGCUGGUCUUGAACUCCUGAGCUCAAGCAGUCUGGUCACCUCUGCAUCCCAAAGUGCUGGGAUUACAGGCUUGAGCCACUGCACUCAGCCUUUCCGUCCUUUUUUUUUUUUUUUUUUUUUUUGAGAGGGAGUCUCACUCUGUCGCCCAGGAUGGAGUGCAGUGGUGCGAUCUCGGCUUACUGCAAGCUCCGCCUCCCGGGGAGGUUCAAGCGAUUCUCAUGCCUCAGCCUCCCGAGUAGCAGGGACUACAGGUGCCCGCCACCACGCCUGGCUAAUUUUUUUUGUAUUUUUAGUAGAGACGGGGUUUCACCGUGUUAGCCAGGAUGAUCUCCAUCUCCUGACCUUGUGAUCCACCCACCUCGGCCUCUCAAAGUGCUGGGAUUACAGGCAUGAGCCACUGUGCCUGGCCCUUUCCUUCCUUUUAAAGCUAAUAAUAUGUCAUUGUAUACCAUCUUUUGUUUAUCCAUUCACCCACUGAUGGACACUUGGGUUGUUUCUACCUUUUGGCUAUUGUGAAUAAUGUUGCUGUGAAUAUGGGUAGACAAAUACCUCUUUGAGACCCUGUUUUCAAUUCCUUUGAGUAUAUACCAGAACUAGAAUGGCUGGAUCAUAUGAUAAUUUGAAUUUUAAUUUUUUUAGAAACCACCAUACCAUUUUCCAGUAGUGGUACUAUUUUACAUUGCUACCAACAGUGCAUAAAGGUUCCAAUUUCUCCACAUCCUCACCAACUCUUAUGUUUUGAUAAUAGCCAUCCUAAUGGGUGUGUAGAAGUACAGUGAAUAUAUAUUUUAAAGAACCUUGAGUCAUAACCCAACUCAUAUUUUCUGUACAGACCUUUUAAAUAAUUAUAACAUAUUUGAUGUGCAUUCAAUAAAUUUUUAUUGAAUCCUGGCUACAUUCCAGGAUUCAAAUAUGAAAUAGGCACAGUCCCUGCCCUCAUGAAUAACAUAGAUAAGGAGCCCCUAUGAAAUAACUUAUAGCCAUUGUACCCCUAUCUAAAGGAUCAGGACCAUAAGCUCUAGCAACAUAUCUGAGAGAAGGGGACGGGAGAGAAAACAUCCACAGCUUUGGUGUGUUCUGAACUCUUUAGGAAUUUUGCAUGGGCAAAUCUGCUCAGUUUUCUCCCAUAGCAAAUAGGGUGUCCUGUGUGAAACUUGGCUACAGUGGUUAUUGACUAAGUUGUUGAGAAAGAGAUAUAUAUUAGCUUUCCCUAUGGAAAUUUAAAAACAUGCACAAAAGUAAAGAAAGUAAUAUAAUAAAUCACCAAAUACCUGUCACCCAGUUUGUGGAAUCAUCAACACAUACCCAGUCUUCUUUCAUACCCACCCCCACUCACUCCCUCUUACCACUAGAUUAUUUUGAAACAAAGUCAGUAUAUUAUUCAAGUUUUCAUUUUCUACUUGUUCUUGAUGCUGUUUCGCUUAGAUACUGGGGUGUGUGCUCUAAUUUUGACUUCUUUUAGCAGUCUUAUUGUGUACAGUAUUCUUUCUCUGAGAGAGAGUUUUGUUUUGUUUUGUUUUGUUUGUAUUGAUAGAAUCACAGUGUUUUCCAGCCUUAAACUCUCUUUUGUCUCUCCCAUUUCAGAGUCCCAUGAACCUGCCACACAUUUUCACUUUACUCAAGUCAAAGUGACUUGGACCUCCACUCACCAGCUCUCUUAGUUCAUCUCUAUAAUGUAUGAAGUUAGGGACUUUAGCAGUCUUCUUAAUUAUUCUACAUACAGUGUCUAACCUGGUGCAUAGUAGGUACUUAAUAAAUAGUUGUUGAUGCCAAGGCAGAUGGAUCACGAGGUCAGGAGUUCAAGACUAGCCUGGCCAAGAUGGUGAAACCCCAUCUCUACUAAAAAUACAAAAAUCAGGCCAGGUGCGGUGGCUCACGCCUGUAAUCCCAGCACUUUGGGAGGCCGAGGCGGGUGGAUCACAAGGUCAGGAGAUCGAGACCGUCCCGGCUAACACAGUGAAACCCCGUCUCUACUAAAAAAUACAAAAAAUUAGCUGGGCGUGGUGGUGGGCGCCUGUGGUCCCAGCUGCUUGGGAGGCUGAGGCAGGAGAAUGGCGUGAACCCGGGGGGCAGAGCUUGCAGUGAGCCGAGAUUGCGCCCCUGCACUCCAGCCUGGGUGACAGAGUGAGACUCCAUCUCAAAAAAAAAAAAAAAAAAAAUUAGCCAGGCGUGGUGGUAGGCCCCUGUAAAUCCCAGCUACUCAGGAGACUGAGGCAGAGAAUUGCUUGAACCUGGGAGGCGGAGGUUGCAGUGUGCCAAGAUCGCACCACUACACCCCAGCCUGGGUGAGAGAGCGAGACUCUGUCUCAAAAAAAAAAAAAAAAAAGUUGUUGAUGACUAAAUGGAUGAACUCCAUUUGGGUUUCCGCUCAUCUGAACCUCAGAAUCAGCAGUUGUUUUAACAAUACACUUGGUUCUCUCUAGAUAGGUAGGUAGGUAGGUAGGUAGGUAGGUAGGUUGGUUCUCUCUAGAUAGGUAGGUAGGUAGGUAGGUAGAUAGAUACAGAUACAGAUACAGAUGCAGAUAUAGAUACAGAUACAGAUGCAGAUAUAGAUAUAGAUUUUUUUUGAGACAAGGUCUUGCUCUGUCACCCAGGCUGGAGUGCAGUGGUGUGACUUCGGCUCACUGCAACCUCCACCUCCAGGGUUCAAGUGGUUUUUGUACCUCAGCCUCUGGAGUAGCUGGGUCUACAGGCGCAUACCACCAUGCUUGGCUAAUUUUUGUAUUUUUUGUAGAGACAGGGUUUCACUGUGUUGCCCAGGCGGGUCUCAAACUCCUGGCCUCAAGUGAUCUGCCCAACUUGGCCUCCCAAAGUGCUGAGAUUAAAAGUGUGAGCCACCACACCCAGCCGGUUCUCUGUAACUUAAAUGAGGAGAAAAUUACCUGGGCCUUGAGAAACAACUUUUAUCCUGGACCUCUUUUGUCUAGCUGAAAAAUCUAAAUUUUUCUGGCUCCCCCUGCUGGUCGCUCCUGGGCAGUUGCGUACAAGUGCCCUGAUAGGAUUGGAGCCAGAGCCAAGUUUGGGAAGGGAAAACAAAGCAUUGUUGGUAGAGUGCCCUGACCAGUCCAGGCAGGUUUGAGGAGGAGGAAAGCAGCUUGUUGAAAACAGUUCUGGGAAGUGCAGCUUUCUGUGUAAAGGGCAAGGAAGGUGGCCCACUGCCAGCCAAAAUCAGGAGAGCAGGGAUUGGGGCUACAGCUUCCUGGUCUGCAGCACUGUAGACCAUGAGAAUCGUGACCACACGAGCCCAUAAGUGAGCUGGUCAUUAUGUGAGGAUCAGACCCUAUCUUGAGAAUGGAGAUGGGCUCCUUUUCUAAGACAAAGCAGUCUGGGGUCAGACAUAGUCACCAUGCAGGCAUAGUACCUACAGUGUUUGUUUUAUUUUGGUAAGAAUGGUGGUGAAUGUAGAUGGGAGCAUCCCCAGAGUUCACAGUCCUGCGUUGGCUACAUGACCGUACUAUCUCCCAGUUCUUAAGACCAUUAACAACUCUGUGGAGCUCUGGGUGGAGCUUCUGCCAGGGCCUUCCUUCUCCACCCUCUGUAAAAACAAUAAAUUCCCCACACCUCUCAUACCAGUCAGAAUGGCUAUUAUUAAGAAGUCAAAAAAUAACAGAUGCUGGUGAGGUUGUAGAGAAAAAAGAACACUUUUACACUGUUGGUGGGAGUGUAAAUUAGUUCAACCAUUGUGGAAGACAGUGUGGCGAUUCCUCAAAGACCUAGAAGCAGAAAUACCAUUUGACCCAGCAAUGCCAUUACUGAGUAUAUAUCCAAAAGAAUAGAAAUCAUUCUAUUAUAAAGAUACAUGCAUACAUGUAUCUUUCAUUUCAUUGCAGCACUAUUCACAGUAGCAAAGACAUGGAACCAACCUAAAUUCCCAUCAGUGAUAGACUUGAUAAAGAAAAUGUGGUACAUAUACAUCAUGGAAUACUAUGCAGUCAUAAAAAGGAAUGAGAUCAUGUCCUUUGCAGGGACAUUGAUGGAGCUGGAAGCCAUUAUCCUCAGCAAAUUAAUGCAAGAACAGAAAAACAAACACUACAUGUUCUCACUUAUAAGUGGCAACUGAAUGAUGAGAACACAUGGACACACAGAGGGGAACAACACACACUGGGGCCUGUUGGACGGUGUGGCGGGGGAGGAAGGAGAGCAUCAGGAAGAACAGCUAAUGGAUGCUGGGCUUAAUACCUACGUGAUGGGAUAAUCUGUGCAGCAAACCACCAUGGCACACGUUUUUCUAUGUAAUCCUGCAUAUGUACCCCUGAACUUAAAAGUUGGAAAAAAAAAAAAGAAAAAAGAAUUCCUCACACCUACCUACCCUCUAGAUCACAUUUCUCAGUUGUUUAUAUUUACUUGUCCUUUCCACAAAACUUCCCAGAAAGUGGACUGUGGCCAAAUGAAUCUCUCCAGACUCCAGCCAGCUGAGGGCAUCAGGAAAAGGGUUAAUGAUGUCAAGACACCAAGGGCAGAUCCCCUCCUCUUCUCUCCAAUCCCAAGCCCCAAGCACCAGCAUAAUUCCACUUAAAGUUGAACGUAGAAAAUGGGCAUUUGUUUUACUUCAGAACAAAGGGGUAAGCACGUGACUUUCCCCAAUACACAAGGAAGGGAAAUGAAUCCAGAAGAACCCCAGGGCAUGAAUAUUACCAUUAGACUUAGGUAAGUAUAGCUGUGAAAUGGUCAUGGUAAAGAAAUGUUUGGGGUAGGCACAGCAGCUCAUGCCUGUAAUCCCAGCAUUAUGGAAGGCCAAGGCAGGAGGAUUGCUUGAGCCCAGGAGUUCAAGACCAGCCUAGGAAACAUAGUGAGACCUCAUCUCUACAAAAGUUUUUUUUUUAAUUAGUCAAGUAUGGUGGCACAUGCCUAUAGUCCCAGCUACUUGGGAGGCUGAGGUGGGAAGAUCACUUGAGCCCAGGAGAUGGUGAUGGCAGUGAGCCAUGAUCACACCAGUACACUCCAGCCUGGGCAACAGGGCAAGACCCUGUCUCCAAAAAAAAAAGUCCAAUGCCCACUCAUGAUAAAACUCUCAGUAAACUUCGUCAGCUUGAUAAAGAAUACCUACAAAACCUACAGCUAACAUACUUAAUAGUGAGAAACCAGAAGCUUUCUCACUAAGAUCAGGAACAAGGCAACGGUGUGCCCUCUCAUCACUUCUUUUCAACAUUGUACUGGAAGUCCUAGCUAAUGUAAUAAGACAAGAAAAGGAAAUAGAAGGUAUACAGAUUGGGGAGGAGGAAAUCAAGCUGUCUUUGUUCACAGAUGACAUGACCAUCUCUGUAGAAAAUCUGAAAGAUGAAUGAUGAAGCCUUGGGAGAUGUUAAAAAAGAAAAAAGAAAGGAGGACAGGACAGGAAAGGAAAAAGGAAAGGGAAGUGGGGAGGGGAAGGGGAAGGAAGGGAAAGGAAAGAUCUGAAAGAAUUGACAGAAAAACUCCUGGAACUAAUAAGUGAUUACAUCAAUGUUUCAGGUUAUAAGGUCAAUAUACAAAACUCAAUUGUCUACCUAUAUACCAGCAAUGAAUUAGUGGAAUUUGAAAUAAAAAACACAUUUAUAUUACCACCCCACAAAAUUUGUAUAAACCUAACAAAAUAUGUACAAGAUCUGUAUGAAAAAAACUACAAAACUCUGAUGAACAAAAUCAAAAAAGAAUUAAAUGGAGAUAUAUUCCAUGGUACAUGCAUAGGAAGACUCAAUAUUGUCAAGAUGUCCGUUCUUCCCAACUUGAUCUAUAGAUCAAAGCAAUCCCAAUCAAAAUCCCAGAAGUUAUUUUGUGGAUAUCAACAAAUUGAUUCUAAAAGUUUAUACAGAGAGGCAAAAUUGAAGGAGAAGAAUGAAGUUAGAAGACUGACACUACCUGACUUUGAGACUUAUAAAGCUACAGUAAUGAAGGCAGUGUGAUAUUUGUGAAAGGAUAGACAAAUAGAUCAAUUGAACAGAAUGGAGAGGCCAGAAAUAGACCCACAUAAAUAUAGUGGAAGGAAUAAAUAUAGUGGAAGGAAGCAAAGGCAGUACAAUGGAGCAAAGAUAAUUUUUUCAACAAAUGGUGCUGGAACAACUGGACAUCCACAUGCAAAAAAUUAAUCUAGACACACACCUUACACUCUGAGAGGAUAACAGAAGAAAACCUUGGAUAUGGUUAUUAUUUUUUCGGUACAACACUCAAAGGCAUGAUCCAUGAAAUAAAUAACUGACAAUCUAGACUUCAUUAAAAUUAAAAAUUUCUCUUCUGUGAAAGACCAUGUCACAAGAAUGAGAAGAUGAUGGCUGGGCACAGUGGCUCAUGCCUGUAAUCCCAGCACUUUGGGAGGCCGAGGUGGGCGGAUCACGAGGUCAGGAAAUCGAGACCAUCCUGGCUAACAUGGUGAAACCCCGUCUCUACUAAAAAAAAAAAAAUACAAAAAUUAGCCGGCCGUGGUGGCAGGCGCCUGUAGUCCCAGCUACUUGGGAGGCUGAGGCAGGAGAAUGGCGUGAACCCAGGAGGCGGAGCUGGUAGUGAGCCAAGAUCACGCCACUGCACUCCAGCCUAGGUGACAGAGCAAGACUCCGUCUCAAAAAACAAAAAAAAAGAAUGAGAAGAUGAGCAUAAGCAUGUACUGGAGAAAAUAUUUGCAAAAGACACAUCUGAUAAAGGACUGUUAUCCAAAAUAUGCAUAAGCACUCUUAAAACUCAACAAUAGGCCAGGCAUAGUGGCUCACGCCUGUAAUCCCAGCACUUUGGGAGGCCGAGGUGGGCGGAUCACGAGGUCAAGACAUAGAGACCAUCCUGGCCAACAUGGUGAAACCCCAUCUCUACUAAAAAUACAAAAACUAGCUGGGCGUGGUGGCGCACGCCUGUAUUCCCAGCUACUCAGGAGGCUGAGGCAGGAGAAUCACUUGAACCCAGGAGGCAGAGGUUGCAGUGAGCCGAGAUCACGCCACCGCACUCCAGCCUGGCAACAGAGUGAGACUCCAUCUCUAAAUAAAUAAACAAACAAAAUAAAACAAUGCAUUUUAAAAAUGGACCAAAGACCUUAACAACACCUCACCAAAGAAGAUAUACAGAUGGCAUAUAAGCAUAUGAAAAGAUGCUGCACAUCAUAUGUUAUCAGAGAAAUGCAAAUUUAAACAACGAUUAGAUACUACUACGCAUUUAUCAGAAUGGCCAAAAUCCAGACAACAAAUGCUGACAAGGAUGUGGAGCAACAGGAACUUUCAUUCAUUGCUGGUAGGAAUGCAAAAUUGAUGGUAGAGCCAUUUUGGAGAACAGUUUGGCAUUUUCUUACAAAACUAAACAUACUCUUACCAUGUGAUUCAGCAAUCACAGUCCUUGAUAUUUUCACAAACGAGUUGAAAACUUAAGUCCACACAACAACCUCCACACACAGGUUUACAGCAGCUUUAUUCAUAAUUGCCAAAACUUGGAAGCAAUCAAGAUGUCCUUCAGUAGGUAAAUAAAUGAAUAUACUGUGGUACAUCCAAACAAUGAAAUAUUAUUCACUGCCAAAAGGAAAUGAGCUAUCAGGCCGCAUGUGGUGGCCCACGCCUAUAAUCCCAAUACUUUGGGAAGCUGAGGUGGGAGGAUUGCAUGCGAGCCCCCAGGAGUUUGAGACCAGCCUGGACAACAUAAUGAGACCUCAUCUCUACCAAAAAAAAAAAAAAAAAAAGGCCGGGCGCAGUGGCUCACGCCUGUAAUCCCAGCACUUUGGGAGGCCAAGGCGGGCGGAUCACGAGGUCAGGAGAUCGAGACAAUCCUGGCUAACACGGUGAAACCCCGUCUCUACUAAAAAUUAAAAUUUUAAAAAAAUUAGCUGGGCAUGGUGGCGGGCACCUGUAGUCCCAGCUACUCAGGAGGCUGAGGCAGGAGAAUGGUGUGAACCCAGGAGGCAGAGCUUUCAGUGAGCCGAGAUCGCGCCACUGCACUCCAGCCUGGGCAACAGAGCGAGACUCUGUCUCAAAAAAAAAAACAAAAACAAAAACAAAAAUUAGCCAGGUAUGGUUGUGUACCUGUGGUUCCAGCUGUUUAGGAGGUGGAGACGGGAGGAUCAGUUGACCCUGGGAGGUUAAGGCUGCAGUGAGGCAGUGAGCUUUGAAGGGAACCUUGAGAUGGAUUUUUUUUUUGAGACGGAGUCUUGCUCUGCUGCCCAGGCUGAGUCCAGUUGUGUGAUCUUGGCUAACUACAACCUCCACCUCCUGGGUUCAAGCGAUUCUCCUGCCUCAGCCUACUGAGUAGCUGGGAUUACAGGUGCACGCUAUCAUGCCCAGCUAGUUGUUGUGUUUUUUUUUGUAUUUUUAGUAGAGACGGGAUUUCACCAUGUUGGCCAGGCUGGUCUCGACUCCUGACCUCAAGUGAUCCACCCGCCUCAGCCUCCUAAAGUGCUGGGAUUACAGGCGUGAGCCACUGUACCCAGCCGAGAUGGACAUUUUUAAAUGAAUAUUUUUAUGUGUAAACAUUUUAAAUGAAUCUUAAAUACAAGUUGGAGACUGUUCUAAUUCCUGAAAGCAGCUGAGUCUAUGGCAGCCAUCAUGAAGCUACCCACUGGAAAAGAGGAACUUGACAUGGUGUUACUGAGGAUGGCUAGUGAAAAUCACUAAAAAUGCUUACAUUUAUGUAGGAUGAGACACCCCAAUAAAUCUGUUGCAACUGCAUUCCCUUCCAGUCUUUUUUCUAUGCGUCUUUUUAUUUGAUUGAUUGAUUGAUUGAGACGGGGUCUCCCUCUGUUACCCAGGGUGGAAUGCAGUGGCACAAUCUCGGCUCACUGCAACCUCCACCUCCCAGGCUCCUGAGUAGCUGGGACUACAGGUGCACACCACCAUGCCAGGCUAAUUUUUGUAUUUUUGUAGAGAUGGGGUUUUGCCAUGUUGCCCAGGCUGGUCUCAAACUCCUGGACUCAAGUG